CCGUAGGUGAACCUGCGGAGGGAUCAUUAUAGAGUGUAAAAACUCCCAACCCAUGUGAACAUACCUACGUUGCCUCGGCGGGAGCCUUUGGGCUGCCGCCGCAGGCCCCCUAAACUCUGUUUUAUUUUGCAACUCUGAAUUAUAAAGCAAAUAAGUUAAAACUUUCAACAACGGAUCUCUUGGUUCUGGCAUCGAUGAAGAACGCAGCGAAAUGCGAUAAGUAAUGUGAAUUGCAGAAUUCAGUGAAUCAUCGAAUCUUUGAACGCACAUUGCGCCCAUUAGUAUUCUAGUGGGCAUGCCUGUUCGAGCGUCAUUAAGUCCAUUAAGCCCUGUUGCUUAGCGUUGGGAGCCCGCCGGCCUGGCCCGCAGCUCCUCAAAAUUAGUGGCGGAGUCAGCGUAUACUCUAGGCGUAGUAAUUUUCACCUCGCUUCUGUGUUGCGCUGGCGCCGGCCGUAAAACACCCCAUCACCAAUGGUUUGACCUCGGAUCAGGUAGGAAUACCCGCUGAACUUAAGCAUAUCAAUA
rnacentral:rRNA from 1 species